rnacentral:rRNA from 1 species
GAUGAGCGCUGGCGGCGUGCCUAAUACAUGCAAGUCGAGCGAACGGACGAGAAGCUUGCUUCUCUGAUGUUAGCGGCGGACGGGUGAGUAACACGUGGAUAACCUACCUAUAGGACUGGGAUAACUUCGGGAAACCGGAGCUAAUACCGGAUAAUAUUUUGAACCGCAUGGUUCAAAAGUGAAAGACGGUCUUGCUGUCACUUAUAGAUGGAUCCUCGCUGCAUUAGCUAGUUGGUAAGGUAACGGCUUACCAAGGCAACGAUGCAUAGCCGACCUGAGAGGGUGAUCGGCCACACUGGAACUGAGACACGGUCCAGACUCCUACGGGAGGCAGCAGUAGGGAAUCUUCCGCAAUGGGCGAAAGCCUGACGGAGCAACGCCGCGUGAGUGAUGAAGGUCUUCGGAUCGUAAAACUCUGUUAUUAGGGAAGAACAUAUGUGUAAGUAACUGUGCACAUCUUGACGGUACCUAAUCAGAAAGCCACGGCUAACUACGUG